rnacentral:rRNA from 1 species
CAAGAUUAAAACUCAAAGGAAUUGACGGGGACCCGCACAAGCGGUGGAUGAUGUGGAUUAAUUCGAUGCAACGCGAAAAACCUUACCUACCCUUGACAUGGUCGGAACCCUGCUGAAAGGUGGGGGUGCUCGAAAGAGAACCGAUACACAGGUGCUGCAUGGCUGUCGUCAGCUCGUGUCGUGAGUGGUUGGGUUAAGUCCCGCAACGAGCGCAACCCUUGUCCUUAGUUGCUACGCAAGAGCACUCUAAGGAGACUGCCGGUGACAAACCGGAGGAAGGUGGGGAUGACGUCAAGUCCUCAUGGCCCUUAUGGGUAGGGCUUCACACGUCAUACAAUGGUCGGAACAGAGGGCUGCCAACCCGUGAGGGGGAGCUAAUCCCAGAAAACCGAUCGUAGUCCGGAUCGUAGUCUGCAACUCGACUACGUGAAGCUGGAAUCGCUAGUAAUCGCGGAUCAGCAUGCCGCGGUGAAUACGUUCCCGGGUCUUGUACACACCGCCCGUCACACCAUGGGAGUGGGUUUUACCAGAAGUGGCUAGUCUAACCGCAAGGAGGACGGUCACCACGGUAGGAUUCAUGACUGGGGUGAAGUCGUAACAAGGUAACCGUA